CAAACCUUGGGGAAAAAAUGAUUCAGGCGUGAUUGCAUUUUUCCUUCGGAUUUUUCAAAAUUGUAUAAUCAGUAUAUAAUAAUUCCUCAUGCGAAAAUUAUGAGUUAUGUUGAGUAAAUUGUGAAAAACUAAAAUUAAGAAUCGUAUGGAAACUUCGCAUGGGCAGUUCAGCAGGCGCAUUUUCGCCUACUAUGCAGGACAGUCUGCCGGAUCGACUAGUAUACUAUAUCAGGGCUGAUAGCAAUGAAUGUCGUUCAAAAUAGUGACUUUAGUGACCAAUGGUGACGAAAAAAUGACCAAAUAAUUUUAAAAAUCCGACCAUUUCAUUCCCCUUCACACUUUGUACGCAAAGGUGACGUUGAACUACGUAACUGUAUGUAAUUGUAAUGUACAGGUUUUCGACUUUUCUGUUCGAUGAGACCAAGGCAAGCGAUUUUCAAGCCCAGAGUAAAUCUGUUUUCGUUGUGUAUCCUGUGCUCCUGAGCUUGAGUGAGCAUCACGAA